rnacentral:rRNA from 1 species
GGACGAACGCUGGCGGCGUGCUUAACACAUGCAAGUCGAACGGAAAGGCCCUGCUUUUGUGUGGUGCUCGAGUGGCGAACGGGUGAGUAACACGUGAGUAACCUGCCCUUGACUUUGGGAUAACUUCAGGAAACUGGGGCUAAUACCGGAUAGGAGCUCCUGCUGCAUGGUGGGGGUUGGAAAGUUUCGGCGGUUGGGGAUGGACUCGCGGCUUAUCAGCUUGUUGGUGGGGUAGUGGCUUACCAAGGCUUUGACGGGUAGCCGGCCUGAGAGGGUGACCGGCCACAUUGGGACUGAGAUACGGCCCAGACUCCUACGGGAGGCAGCAGUGGGGAAUAUUGCACAAUGGGCGGAAGCCUGAUGCAGCAACGCCGCGUGCGGGAUGACGGCCUUCGGGUUGUAAACCGCUUUCGCCUGUGACGAAGCGUGAGUGACGGUAAUGGGUAAAGAAGCACCGGCUAACUACGUG